rnacentral:tRNA from 1 species
CAAGACGUAGCUAUAACCAAAGCAUUCAGCUUACACCUGAAAGAUAUCUGCCACCACCCAGAUCGUCUUGA